ACGAAUGGUCUUGGUACCUUCAAACCCUUCAAACCAGUGGACAUGAAAAAUGUGCUUCGGCGCUCCGGCGCUGCUUUUAUGCUGUAAUUCUGCCUUUUGUGUCUGAAUGCAAAGCAAAGAAACA
rnacentral:misc_RNA from 1 species